AUUGAACGCUGGCGGCAUGCCUUACACAUGCAAGUCGAACGGCAGCGCGGACUUCGGUCUGGCGGCGAGUGGCGAACGGGUGAGUAAUACAUCGGAACGUACCCUGUUGUGGGGGAUAACUAGUCGAAAGAUUAGCUAAUACCGCAUACGACCUGAGGGUGAAAGUGGGGGACCAGAAACGGCCUCAUGCAGCAGGAGCGGCCGAUGUCUGAUUAGCUAGUUGGUGGGGUAAAGGCCCACCAAGGCGACGAUCAGUAGCUGGUCUGAGAGGACGAUCAGCCACACUGGGACUGAGACACGGCCCAGACUCCUACGGGAGGCAGCAGUGGGGAAUUUUGGACAAUGGGGGCAACCCUGAUCCAGCAAUGCCGCGUGUGUGAAGAAGGCCUUCGGGUUGUAAAGCACUUUUGUCCGGAAAGAAAUCGCGCUGGUUAAUACCUGGCGUGGAUGACGGUACCGGAAGAAUAAGCACCGGCUAACUACGUG
rnacentral:rRNA from 1 species